CUGGAGCUUGCUCCAGGGAUUAGUGGCGAACGGGUGAGUAACACGUGAGUAACCUGCCCUUGACUCUGGGAUAAGCGCUAGAAAUGGCGUCUAAUACCGGAUACGAGCUUCAGCCGCAUGGCUAGGAGUUGGAAAGAAUUUUGGUCAAGGAUGGACUCGCGGCCUAUCAGCUAGUUGGUGAGGUAAUGGCUCACCAAGGCGACGACGGGUAGCCGGCCUGAGAGGGUGACCGGCCACACUGGGACUGAGACACGGCCCAGACUCCUACGGGAGGCAGCAGUGGGGAAUAUUGCACAAUGGGCGAAAGCCUGAUGCAGCAACGCCGCGUGAGGGAUGACGGCCUUCGGGUUGUAAACCUCUUUUAGUAGGGAAGAAGCGAAAGUGACGGUACCUGCAGAAAAAGCACCGGCUAACUACGUGCCAGCAGCCGCGGUAAUACGUAGGGUGCAAGCGUUGUCCGGAAUUAUUGGGCGUAAAGAGCUCGUAGGCGGUUUGUCGCGUCUGCUGUGAAAUCUGGGGGCUCAACCCCCAGCCUGCAGUGGGUACGGGCAGACUAGAGUGCGGUAGGGGAGAUUGGAAUUCCUGGUGUAGCGGUGGAAUGCGCAGAUAUCAGGAGGAACACCGAUGGCGAAGGCAGAUCUCUGGGCCGUAACUGACGCUGAGGAGCGAAAGCAUGGGGAGCGAACAGGAUUAGAUACCCUGGUAGUCCAUGCCGUAAACGUUGGGAACUAGAUGUGGGGGCCAUUCCACGGUCUCCGUGUCGCAGCUAACGCAUUAAGUUCCCCGCCUGGGGAGUACGGCCGCAAGGCUAAAACUCAAAGGAAUUGACGGGGGCCCGCACAAGCGGCGGA
rnacentral:rRNA from 1 species